rnacentral:rRNA from 1 species
AGAGUUUGAUCCUGGCUCAGAACGAACGCUGGCGGCGUGCUUAACACAUGCAAGUCGAACGGAAUUAGGGGCUUGCUCCUAAUUUAGUGGCGCACGGGUGAGUAACGCGUGGAUAACCUACCCUGGUAUCUGGGAUAACAUCUCGAAAGGGGUGCUAAUACCGGAUAAGCCCACGGUCUCUUCGGGGAUUGCGGGAAAAGAUGGCCUCUAUUUAUAAGCUAUCGUAUCAGGAUGGGUCCGCGUACCAUUAGCUAGUUGGUGGUGUAAUGGACCACCAAGGCGACGAUGGUUAGCUGGUCUGAGAGGAUGAUCAGCCACACUGGAACUGAGACACGGUCCAGACUCCUACGGGAGGCAGCAGUGGGGAAUUUUGCGCAAUGGGGGAAACCCUGACGCAGCAACGCCGCGUGAGUGAUGAAGGCCUUCGGGUCGUAAAGCUCUGUCAGAGGGGAAGAAGUGAUAGUGUGUUAAUACCACAUUAUCUUGACGGUACCCUCAAAGGAAGCACCGGCUAACUCCGUGCCAGCAGCCGCGGUAAUACGGAGGGUGCAAGCGUUGUUCGGAUUUAUUGGGCGUAAAGCGCGUGUAGGCGGUCUUUUAAGUCUGAUGUGAAAGCCCCGGGCUCAACCCGGGAAGUGCAUUGGAAACUGGGAGACUUGAAUACGGGAGAGGGUAGUGGAAUUCCUAGUGUAGGAGUGAAAUCCGUAGAUAUUAGGAGGAACACCGGUGGCGAAGGCGGCUACCUGGACCGAUAUUGACGCUGAGACGCGAAAGCGUGGGGAGCAAACAGGAUUAGAUACCCUGGUAGUCCACGCUGUAAACGAUGAGUACUAGGUGUUGCGGGUAUUGACCCCUGCAGUGCCGCAGCUAACGCAUUAAGUACUCCGCCUGGGAAGUACGGUCGCAAGACUA